UUUCCGUAGGUGAACCUGCGGAAGGAUCAUUGACGAAGGCGAGAAUUGUAAAAAGGUUCUCGUUUGAUCAAUCACAUUCCAAAAGUGCGAGUAUAGUAAAAUGGGGAGACCCAUUUACGAUGUAUGUAUUAAUAAAACAAAACUUUCAACAACGGAUCUCUUGGCUCUUGCAUCGAUGAAGAACGCAGCGAAUUGCGGCAAGUAGUGUGAAUUGCAGAAUUCCGUGAAUCAUCGAGUCUUUGGACGCAUAUUGCACCUUUUGGUAUUCCGAAAGGCAUGCCUGUUUGAGGGUCAUUGAAUCAAUCGGUACGCGAAUACUUUUUGUGUAUCGGAAUGUUGAGCUUUUCGUAAUAUUUAUUAUGAUUGCUAGAAAUCGAAGCACUAGUCUCGGCCUAAUAUAGAGACGCGUUUACGGUGGCUUGCUACCAAUUUUUCGCAACUUUUAGGUCGAAUUCCAAGCUGGUUUGGGCAUUUUCUCGAGGAAAGAAAAGGCGCAUACAAUUUAAUUUUUAUCAUGACCUCAAAUCAAGCAAGAAUACCCGCUGAACUUAA
rnacentral:rRNA from 1 species